rnacentral:rRNA from 1 species
UGGGGAAUCUUGGACAAUGGGGGCAACCCUGAUCCAGCGAUGCCGCGUGUGUGAAGAAGGCCUUCGGGUUGUAAAGCACUUUAGGUGGGGAAGAAAGGCAGUUGUUGAAUACGCAACUGUUAUGACGGUACCCGCAGAAUAAGCACCGGCUAACUCUGUG